rnacentral:rRNA from 1 species
GACGAACCGUGCGAACGUUAUUCGGAAUCACUGGGCUUAAAGGGCGCGUAGGCGGGUUGCCAAGUCUGUGGUGAAAUCCUCCAGCUUAACUGGAGAACGGCCGUGGAUACUGGCGACCUCGAGGGGGGUAGGGGCUUGCGGAACUGUGCGUGGAGCGGUGAAAUGCGUUGAUAUGCACAGGAACGCCGGUGGCGAAGGCGGCGAGCUGGACCUCUUCUGACGCUGAGGCGCGAAAGCCAGGGGAGCAAACGGG